GACGUAGGGCGCGAGCGUUGUCCGGAUUUAUUGGGCGUAAAGAGCUCGUAGGCGGCUUGUCGCGUCGACCGUGAAAACUCACAGCUCAACUGUGAGCCUGCGGUCGAUACGGGCAGGCUAGAGUUCGGUAGGGGAGACUGGAAUUCCUGGUGUAGCGGUGAAAUGCGCAGAUAUCAGGAAGAACACCCGUGGCGAAAGCGGCUCUCUGGAACGGUACUGACGCUGAGACGCGAAAGCGUGGGGAGCGAACAGG
rnacentral:rRNA from 1 species